GUGUCAGCAGCCGCGGUAAUACGAAGGAUUCGAGCGUUAUCCGGAUUUAUUGGGUUUAAAGGGUGCGUAGGCGGACCGAUAAGUCAGUGGUGAAAUCCUGUUGCUUAACAACAGAACUGCCAUUGAUACUGCCGGUCUUGAGUACAGUUGAGGUAGGCGGAAUGUGUCAUGUAGUGGUGAAAUACUUAGAUAUGACACAGAACACCGAUUGCGAAGGCAGCUUGCUAAACUGUAACUGACGCUGAGGCACGAAAGCAUGGGGAGCAAACAGGAUUAGAUACCCUCGUAGUCC
rnacentral:rRNA from 1 species